rnacentral:rRNA from 1 species
AUUGAACGCUGGCGGCAGGCCUAACACAUGCAAGUCGAGCGGUAACAGGAAAUAGCUUGCUAUUUUGCUGACGAGCGGCGGACGGGUGAGUAACGCGUAGGAAUUUGCCCAGUAGUGGGGGAUAGCCCGGAGAAAUUCGGAUUAAUACCGCAUACGCCCUAAGGGGGAAAGCAGGGGAUCUUCGGACCUUGCGCUAUUGGAUAAGCCUGCGUGAGAUUAGCUAGUUGGUGAGGUAAGGGCUCACCAAGGCGACGAUCUCUAGCUGGUCUGAGAGGAUGAUCAGCCACACUGGAACUGAGACACGGUCCAGACUCCUACGGGGGGCAGCAGUGGGGAAUAUUGCACAAUGGGCGAAAGCCUGAUGCAGCCAUGCCGCGUGUGUGAAGAAGGCUCUAGGGUUGUAAAGCACUUUCAGUAGGGAGGAAAAGUCGAUAGUUAAUACCUAUCGGCCGUGACGUUACCUACAGAAGAAGCACCGGCUAACUCCGUG